rnacentral:rRNA from 1 species
AGAAUCUUUCGCAAUGCCCGAAAGGGUGACGAAGCGACGCCGCGUGUGGGAAGAAGGCCUUCGGGUUGUAAACCACUGUCGGGAGUUAAGAAAUGUAAGGAUGUUAAUAGCGUCCUUACUUGACUAAGGCUCCGGAGGAAGCCACGGCUAACUCUGUGCCAGCAGCCGCGGUAAUACAGAGGCGGCAAGCGUUGUUCGGAAUUAUUGGGCGUAAAGAGCACGUAGGCGGCCUUGAAAGUCAGUUGUGAAAGCCUUCUGCUUAACGGAAGAACAGCAUCUGAUACUACAGGGCUUGAGUGCGGGAGGGGAGAGUGGAACUUCUGGUGGAGCGGUGAAAUGCGUAGAUAUCAGAAGGAACGCCGACGGCGAAAGCGGCUCUCUGGCUCGUAACUGACGCUGAGUGUGCGAAAGCUAGGGGAUCAAACGGGAUUAGAUACCCCGGUAGUCCUAGCCGUAAACGAUGGGCACUAAGUAGAGGGGUUUUGAUUAUCUCUCUGCCGGAGCUAACGCAUUAAGUGCCCCGCCUGGGAAGUACGGCCGCAAGGCUAAAACUCAAAAGAACUGACGGGGGCUCGCACAAGCGGUGGAGCAUGUGGCUUAAUUCGAUGCAACGCGAAGAACCUUACCGGGGUUUGACAUGGUAGAAGUAGGAACCAGAAACGGUAACGAACGGUAUCCAGUCCGUAACUAUCACAGGUGUUGCAUGGCUG